UACGUAGGGAGCAAGCGUUAUCCGGAUUUAUUGGGUGUAAAGGGUGCGUAGACGGGAAUUUAAGUUAGUUGUGAAAUCCCUCGGCUUAACUGAGGAACUGCAACUAAAACUGAAUUUCUUGAGUGCGGGAGAGGAAAGUGGAAUUCCUAGUGUAGCGGUGAAAUGCAUAGAUAUCACGCAGAACUCCGAUUGCGAAGGCAGCAUACCGGCGCUCAACUGACGCUCAUGCACGAAAGUGUGGGUAUCGAACAGG
rnacentral:rRNA from 1 species